AUACUCUUUUCCUUUGUGGGAACAAAUACGUUUGAGGGGCUAAGAACUUGAAGGUAAAUUAGCAGUGUGGUUACUGUUGCCAGUGCUAUCAGUCACCUUCAUACAAAA
ensembl:snoRNA